rnacentral:tRNA from 1 species
GGCCCCUUGGUCAAGCGGUUAAGACACCGGCCUUUCACGCCGGCAACAGGGGUUCGAAUCCCCUAGGGGUCACCA